CUACUAUUAGGGAAAUAACACAGAGUGAUGUGGUAGACAGUGAUGGGUGUGGGGACAGAAGGGUCAGGGCAGGCUAUAGCAUGUAAGGAUCAGGGAAGAACCUUCUGAGGCAGCAGGAGCAGGUGCUGCUAAGGCCUCACAGCGAGAAUGGAUGUGCUUUGUACGGGGACAAGAAUAAGCACAGGAGCGUACAAGCCAGGGAGGCAGCCGUGUCAGGGGAAGUCGGAGAGGUUAGUUAAGUCAGGUAAACAAUGGCUGACCAUGUAGACCAUGAGAAACAGUUUAGAUUUUAUUCUAUGUGCAGCUCUAAGCCACUGGGGGGUUUUAAACAAAUUCCUGAAUCGGAGGCAUUGCUAAACCUGUAACAUAGUUAAAGAAUUAAAAAACAAAAACAAAACAAAAAGUCCUUAACAUCUCAAAGACACUGGCAUCUCCAAAGUGCGGAGCUAAAGUUCCUCUUUUUGCAAAAUGAAUUGUCCAGAAAUCUAUUCCGGUGUAAUUCAUUUGUUUACUCAUUCAUGUCACGUAUAAAUAAAUGUUUGUCACUCUGUUCCAGCCACUGUGCUUGGCACUGAGGAGAUACAACUGGGAAGACAGGUAUGGCCCACAGAGAAUGAGACAAAUAACCAGGUGAUGACAACACACUGAUAAGUGCCCCACUGGGGAUGAUGCUUCCCUAACACGCGAGAGUUCUCCCAUCAAGUUUAGGGAGCAUGGAGGAGGAAGGUGUAAGGAGGGGGAAGCAGGAAAGGCUUUCUGAAGGAAGUGAUGUUUAAGAACACAGUGUUCCCCAGAGAUGAGAGGAAACAGGGCAAGGUUGCAGAAGUGCAACAAGUACAGUAAGGUCAAAGUAAAGAGUGUAAACAGACGCUGCAAUGGCAAGCCAGAGUAGGUCACCCAGGCCUCCCAGUUAAUAAAAGGAUUAAGGAGUAUAUAGUAUCCAUGGGGCCAUCAAAGACUCUUAUGCAGGAGAGUGCUGUGUUCAAGCUUGCAUGGUAGAACAAUCCCACAGGUUUCAGAGUAGAGAAUGAGCCAGUAAAAAGGGUCAGGAAGGCCAGAUGGCCAAGGCUUGGGCUGAGGUGGUGGCAGUGGGGAUGGUGACUGGUAGGCUGCUGUGAGAACAGAAUCAACAGGUCUUGAUCAUUGUUGAGAAGUCAGUGAUGAGUAAAGGAAGCUGGCCAGGUUUCCAUGCACCAGAUGGAAUUCAUGGAAACAGGGAGACACACAGGUGUGGGUGCAGGGGAGGAAGGGGAACCAUUCAUGUGUAACAGUCAACUGGCUUGGCAGACAUUUGGGUAGAUGGGCCUAAAGAACAGGUAGGAGAUCUGGGAUAUGGUUUUUGGCAUUGAUAUGGUUUGGCUGCGUCCUCAUCUAAAUCUCAUCUUGAAUUGUAAUUCCCACAUGUCUAGGGAGAGACUGGUGGGAGGAGACUGGAUCAUGGGGGUGAAUGCUCCGUGAUAGUGAGUUCUCAUGAGAUCUGAUGGUUUUAUAAGGGACUCUUCCCUCUUCGCUCCUAACACUUCUCUAGCCUGCCGCCAUAUAAGACAUGUCUCUUCUCGUUCUGCCAUGAUUGUAAGUUUCCUGAGGCCUCCCCAGCCAUGCGGAACU
rnacentral:lncRNA from 10 species